CUCAGCCUCCGGAGUAGCUGGGACUACAGGCACCUGCCACCACGCCUGGCUAAUUUUUCGUAUUUUUAGUAGGGACAGGGUUUCACCGUGUUAGCCAGGAUGGUCUUGAUCUCCUGACCUCAUGAUCCGCCCACCUCGGCCUCCCAAAGUGUUGGGAUUACAGGCGUGAGCCACUGCUCCCGGCCUUAUCUCUUUGUUUCUUAUUGGUCUCUUCAGACUUUCUAUUUCUUCUUGAUUCAGUCUUGUGUAAGUUUGUUGAUUUUAUCUUAUUGAUUGCCUGUUUCAUUCCACUGCUGUCUGAGAAGAUACUUGAUGGAGUCUUGCUCUGUUGCCCAGGCUGGAGUGCAGUGGCACGAUGUUGGCUCACUGCAACUUCUGCCUCCCAGGUUCAAGCGAUUCUACCACCUCAGCCUCCCGAGUAGCUGAGACUACAGGGAAACUUGACUGAGAGGAAGAGAAAGCUAAAGAAGUAUCAAAUUCCUCUCUAAGACAUCUUCACUAGUCUUCCAGAACAUCUCCGCCUUGGGAAGCAGAACUCUGAGGUCCAGGAAGACCUUCCGACCAAUCCACUGAGACAUUGCUACGGCUGCCUCCUCUUCACUUUCUGGCCUCUUGAGCCAACAUCCAACAUGAUCUUCAUGAGAGGUUGCCGGUUACCUUUCUAAAAACGUAUUUGACCAGAUUUCUUCAUGAUAUUUCAAAAUGUAAAGGCAGAAAACAAGUUAAACUUUAAACAAAUUUAAAUUUAAACAAUCUAAAAGGGAAUUUAAGUAAGCGUAUGACUUUGUUGCAGAGGUUCUAGGCUUCCUUUUUUACAAAAGGAUGGGAAAUUUUAAAGCAACUGCUCUGACUAACCCAGAAAAAUCUUUCUUUGUUUAUCUCCUUUGUAUUUAGCCCCAAUAUCUGAGAAAAUUUUAAACAUAGUUUUUUUUUCUAGGAUUGGUGCCUAAGGGUCAUUCCCUUACGAAAACCCUAACUUUUUUUACACCUUUGUUGAAUGAAGGAGCUGGUGGAAGUUCAAAUUUGUGUGUUAACAUGUGACUUCAAUUAGAGUCUGAAGAUGGCCACUUGUUAGUAAUCUCACACUGCAUCAUUUUAAAAAAACACAGCAUUUUUGUUCUGGUGAAGAGAGAGGCACUGGAAUUCAUCCCCAUUGUCCACUCCCCACCCAGUGUAUUUUACAGAAAUUCUUAACAAGUUUAAUAGUGUGCUAUUAUAACAUAAUUGCAGCAUUACACCAGAAGCAUUAUCAACACUAAGUAUUCUCCAAUUUAGAAUGCAUGAAUAAAGUCUCUAAAACUCUUAAGAGUAUCACUUUUUCUCAGCUAAAUAAACUAAGUUCAAAG
rnacentral:lncRNA from 1 species